AAGAAGGAAGAAGAGAAAAAGAGAAGUUUUGUUGUGUGAACAAUUUGGAUUGUUUACGAGCUAAAAAAAGAAAGAGAGAGAAAGAGGGAGAGAGAGAUUUGGACCGAUCCCUUUGGCGUUGAAUAAUGCUAGAGG
rnacentral:ribozyme from 1 species